UACGUAGGGCGCAAGCGUUAUCCGGAAUUAUUGGGCGUAAAGAGCUCGUAGGCGGUUUGUCGCGUCUGCCGUGAAAGCCCGGGGCUCAACCCCGGGUCUGCAGUCGAUACGGGCAGGCUAGAGUUCGGUAGGGGAGACUGGAAUUCCUGGUGUAGCGGUGAAAAUGCGCAGAUAUCAGGAGGAACACCGGUGGCGAAGGCGGCAUCCUGGACCAACACUGACGCUGAGUGAGCGAAAAGCCCAGGGGGGAGCAAAACGGGG
rnacentral:rRNA from 1 species